AGAGUUUGAUCCUGGCUCAGAAUGAACGCUGGCGGCGUGCUUAACACAUGCAAGUCGCACGAGAACGCUUCAGCUUGCUGAAGCUAGUAAAGUGGCGCACGGGUGAGUAACGCGUGGGUAAUCUACCUCCAAAUUGGGGAUAACAUUGCGAAAGCGAUGCUAAUACCGAAUAAUAUCUCAAGAACUUCGGCUUUUGAGAUCAAAGGUGGCCUCUCCAUGGAAGCUACUGUUAGGAGAUGAGCCCGCGUACCAUUAGCUUGUUGGUAGGGUAAUGGCUCACCAAGGCAACGAUCCGUAGCUGGUUUGAGAGGAUGAUCAGCCACACUGGGACUGAGACACGGCCCAGACUCCUACGGGAGGCAGCAGUGGGGAAUAUUGCACAAUGGACGCAAGUCUGAUGCAGCAAUGCCGCGUGUGUGAAGAAGGCCUUAGGGUUGUAAAGCACUUUCAGUAGGGAGGAAAAGUUCAAGGUUAAUAACCUUGGGCCCUGACGUUACCUACAGAAGAAGCACUGCUAACU
rnacentral:rRNA from 1 species